GUACAGGGUAGCCUAGUGGACAUGGCAUCUGCCCGGUAAGCGGAAGGUUGUGGGUUCGAUUCCCGCCCCUGGACA
rnacentral:tRNA from 1 species